AGGGUAACAAAGGAAAUAACUGUCAAACGCAUGAAAGUUCAUCUGAUGCAUGAUCUGUUUUUGUACCCGUUAGGCUCGCUAAUUAAAAAUUCAGUUACACUCAAUUCAUACGGAUGGUUGAUCUAAAUAUCACGUUCCAAAAUCACGACUGAAAUUAUCGCAAGAAUGCUGAAGUACUUUGCUGUACGUGGCUUAAAUCAUGACGUUGGACACUAGAUCUACGCAACAUAACACAGCCAAGAGGAACUGGGCACUGGUUUGAGGUCACUACUUCCGUGGAGACGUCAGCCAUCAUUAAAUGUACACUAAACGAAGUAAUCGGUUGAUGCCGAAGAGACCGUUGGAAACAGGUUUCAUCAAGAAAUGGAGCUUUAAGUGUACAAGACUUUUCAAAGGUCAAGGAGAAUGUGAUAUAGUGUAUGACAUUUGCAGACUGCACGCGAAUUUUGGCCAAGUUAGCUUGAUUAUCAUUCUGGUUAGCCUGUUUACGGUUAACGGUUAACAACAGGACAUGGGCUCACCUCGAUCACGGCUCGCGCCAUCUUGCGGCCUUACGUAACAGAUUACUCAGAGGACCCUGGGAUGGUGUUCAGUCCCCCAAAUGAUGACAAGCCACGUUAUUUGCUGUGUUUAUGUACGAUUGUCUUAUCCAAAUAAUAUUUGUGAGCUGCAAAAGUUCUUAAAUCAGAAUAAGAAGACUCGAGGCUGGUGAUUGACGCAAUAAUUUCCUGGGAUUUAAACUAAACAAUGGCUCAAUCCUGGAGACACCAAUAUCAGGUAGAAGAUGAAGAGGUGGCGUUAGCCAAGGCUCUGGAGCUUUCACGUCUAGAAGAGGAAAAGAGACAGCCAGCACGUCCAAUCCAACACGAUCCUUUUCUCACAAGGCAGCCUGGUCAUGGGGAUUUGGUAGCAGUUAAAAUUACUGAGACUGUGAUUAAAAAAAAUCAGCUAGUACCCAAUAUCCCUUACUCUUUAAGCAUUAUUUAAAGAGUAAGGGAUAUUGGGUACUAGCUGAUUUAUUUUUAAGAGUCUUAAAUGUCGGUGAUAAGCUGAGGGUGGAAGACCACUGAAGUCUACUAAUAUCUCCACAUUGAACUGAUCUGUAGACAUUGCAACCACUAGUUUAAUUUUGUGAUGUUUCCGAGUGGCUAGUGUGACGCAGCGUUUCGUCGCGACCGAGGGACUCAUUGGAGACCUUUCCUGGGGCCUGUUUCUCGAAGGUCCCGAAAAGUUUUCGAACCCGGAAAGCCAUAGCAAAAUCUCGAACCUUAUGA